CUAAAUGCGGAAGAGAUAAGUGCUGAAAGCAUCUAAGCACGAAACUUGCCCCGAGAUGAGUUCUCCCUGACUCCUUGAGAGUCCUGAAGGAACGUUGAAGACGACGACGUUGAUAGGCCGGGUGUGUAAGCGCAGCGAUGCGUUGAGCUAACCGGUACUAAUGAACCGUGAGGCUUAACCUU
rnacentral:rRNA from 1 species